rnacentral:rRNA from 1 species
UAAAGCGUCCGCAGGCGGCCUUGAAAGUCUGUUGUUAAAGCGUGGAGCUCAACUCCAUUUCAGCAAUGGAAACUACAAGGCUAGAGUGUGGUAGGGGCAGAGGGAAUUCCCGGUGUAGCGGUGAAAUGCGUAGAUAUCGGGAAGAACACCAGUGGCGAAGGCGCUCUGCUGGGCCAUAACUGACGCUCAUGGACGAAAGCCAGGGGAGCGAAAGGGAUUAGAUACCCUGU